UAUUGCACAAUGGUGGGAACCCUGAUGCAGCGACGCCGCGUGAGGGAAGAAGGUUUUUGGAUUGUAAACCACUGUCCUCUGUGAAGAUAAUGACGUUAGCAGAGGAGGAAGCUCCGGCUAACUACUUGCCAGCAGCCGCGGUAAUACGUAGUGAGAAAGCGUUGUCCGGUUUUACUGGGUGUAAAGGGUGCGUAGGCGGCUUUGCAAGUCAGAAGUGAAAUCCAUGGGCUUAACCCAUGAACUGCUUUUGAAACUGCAGAGCUUGAGUGGAGUAGAGGUAGGCGGAAUUCCCGGUGUAGCGGUGAAAUGCGUAGAGAUCGGGAGGAACACCAGUGGCGAAGGCGGCCUACUGGGCUCUAACUGACGCUGAGGCACGAAAGCGUGGGUAGCAA
rnacentral:rRNA from 1 species